UACAGAGGCCUCGAGCGUUAGGCGGAAUCACUGGGCUUAAAGCGUGUGUAGGCGGGUCGUUUAAGUGCCUUGUGAAAUCCCAUGGCUCAACCAUGGAACUGCUGGGCAUACUGGCGAUCUUUGUGCAACCUAGGGGCGAGCGGAACAGAUGGGUGGAGCGGUGAAAUGCGUAGAUAUCAUCUGGAACGCCAAUGGUGAAAACAGCUCGCUGGGG
rnacentral:rRNA from 1 species